UACAGAGGUCUCGAGCGUUGUUCGGAUUCAUUGGGCGUAAAGGGCGCGUAGGCGGCGGGGUAAGUCUGGUGUGAAAUCUCGGAGCUCAACUCCGAAAUUGCACUGGAUACUGCUCUGCUAGAGGGCUGGAGAGGAGAUCGGAAUUCACGGUGUAGCAGUGAAAUGCGUAGAUAUCGUGAGGAAGACCAGUGGCGAAGGCGGACCUCUGGACAGCUCCUGACGCUGAGGCGCGAAGGCUAGGGGAGCAAACGGG
rnacentral:rRNA from 1 species